AUUGAACGCUGGCGGCAUGCCUUACACAUGCAAGUCGAACGGUAACAGGUCUUCGGAUGCUGACGAGUGGCGAACGGGUGAGUAAUACAUCGGAACGUGCCCAGACGUGGGGGAUAACGAGGCGAAAGCUUUGCUAAUACCGCAUACGAUCUAAGGAUGAAAGCAGGGGACCGCAAGGCCUUGCGCGUUUGGAGCGGCCGAUGGCAGAUUAGGUAGUUGGUGGGAUAAAAGCUUACCAAGCCGACGAUCUGUAGCUGGUCUGAGAGGACGACCAGCCACACUGGGACUGAGACACGGCCCAGACUCCUACGGGAGGCAGCAGUGGGGAAUUUUGGUCAAUGGGCGGGAGCCUGAACCAGCCAAGUCGCGUGAAGGAAGAAGGAUCUAUGGUUCGUAAACUUCUUUUGCAGGGGAAUAAAGUGCAGGACGUGUCCUGUUUUGUAUGUACCCUGAGAAUAAGGAUCGGCUAACUCCGUGCCAGCAGCCGCGGUAAAG
rnacentral:rRNA from 1 species